GAUGGACGCUGGCGGCGUGCCUAAUACAUGCAAGUCGAGCGAACGGACGAGAAGCUUGCUUCUCUGAUGUUAGCGGCGGACGGGUGAGUAACACGUGGAUAACCUACCUAUAAGACUGGGAUAACUUCGGGAAACCGGAGCUAAUACCGGAUAAUAUUUUGAACCGCAUGGUUCAAAAGUGAAAGACGGUCUUGCUGUCACUUAUAGAUGGAUCCGCGCUGCAUUAGCUAGUUGGUAAGGUAACGGCUUACCAAGGCAACGAUGCAUAGCCGACCUGAAAGGGGGAUCGGCCACACUGGAACUGAGCCACGGUCCAGACUCCUACGGGAGGCAGCAGUAGGGAAUCUUCCGCAAUGGGCGAAAGCCUGACGGAGCAACGCCGCGUGAGUGAUGAAGGUCUUCGGAUCGUAAAACUCUGUUAUUAGGGAAGAACAUAUGUGUAAGUAACUGUGCACAUCUUGACGGUACCUAAUCAGAAAGCCACGGCUAACUACGUG
rnacentral:rRNA from 1 species